CAACUGGAGAGUUUGAUUCUGGCUCAGAACGAACGCUGGCGGCAUGCUUAACACAUUACGCAAGUCGAACGAGAAAGUCCCCGAUGAAGUGCAAAGUGGCGCACGGUGAGAACACGGGGCACGUACCCCUUUAGGAUGGGGGACAACCACGGGAAACUGUAUUAAUUCCUAAUACGCCUAUUGAAUUCAUGUUUUAAUGAGGAAAGGGGGCCCUCUGAUCUAAGGUCACACUGAAGGAUCGGCUUGCGUCCCAUCAGCUUGUUGGUGAGGUAAAGCUCACCAAGGCUAUGAUUUAGCUGGUCUGAGAGGACGAUCAGCCACACUCAACCGAAACAUUGGUCCAGACUCCUACGGGAGGCAGCAGUGGGGGAAUAUUGGACAAUGGGGGGAAACCCCUGAUCCAGCAAUGCCGUGCGGGAGGAAGAAGGCCUUUGGGUUGUAAACUCCUGUCAUAGGGGAAGAAGGCUAUUGGCGAAUAGUCUUUUAGUCUUGAUUGGUACCAAGGAAGUAAUCGUUAACUCUGUGCCAGCAGCCGCGGUAAUACGGUAGUGCAAGCGUUGUUCGAAUCAUCAAGUAAAGCGCCUUAGGCUGAGCAGAUGUCAGGGCGGAAAGACCGGCUCAACCCAGGAAAUGCGCCUGAAAACUAUUUAUCUGGUUGUGAGAGGUGAGCAAUUCCCAGUGAAAAGGAAAUGCGUAUUAUUAGAAGAACAUCAGAGGCGAAGGCGGCUCACUGGCUACAUACUGACGCCAGCGCGAAAGGGAAGCAAACAGGAUUAGACACUUGGCAGUCCACGCCAAACGAUGAUUACUAGUGUCGGGUGAUCAAUUCCCCGGUGCCGACGCUAACGCAUUAAGUAAUCCCGCCUGGGGAGUACGGCCGCGUUAAAACUCAAAGAAAUUGACGGGGCCCGCACAUGGUGGAGCAUGUGGUUUAAUUCGACGCAACGCGAAGAACCUUACCUGGGCUUGACAUCCAAAGAAUUGCUGAGAUAGUGAAAGUGCCCUGGGAACUUUGAGACAGGUGCUGCAUGGUCGUCGCCGCUUCCGUGUCGUGGAGAUGUUGUUGGUCCUGCAACGAGCGCAACCCCUAUCCUUAGUUGGGCAAUAUCUGCUGGUUGAGCACUCAGAGACUGCCGGUGUUAAGCCGGAGGAAGGUAGACGACGCCUGAGUCAUCACGGCCCUUACGUCCAGGGCUACACACGUGCUACAAUGAUGGUACAAAGGGUUGCCAACUCAAGAGGGAGCUAACUCCAAAAACCCUUCCUAGUUUCGGAUUGAGUCUGCAACCCCGACUCCAUGAAGUUGAAUCGCUAGUAACGCAUCGUUAAACAAACACGGUGAAUACGUUCCUGGCCUUUGUACACACCGCCCGUCACACCACGAAAGUUGAUUUUCCAGAAGACGGUUUACUAACCUUCUCGGGAGGGACCUGGUCCAAGGAAGGAUUGAUGAUUGGGUGAAGUCGCAAAAUGCGAGUUGUAGGGAACCUGCGGCUGGAUCACCUCCUUUCU
rnacentral:rRNA from 1 species